GAAAAACUAGGAAAGAUAAGAAUGCUUCUUGUUAGUACCAGCAUUGGUGGUGUUGUGUUAUUUUUAUCAUUAGAAAGUCUUGAUGGUAGGAAUAUGCAUUUACACAUUCUUUUUGCUCAGUUUUCCAUCAUUUUUUUAUUAGUUUUCCAUCAACUUUUGUGUUUAAUAUGCAAAUGUAUAAACAGAUGUGUUUUCCUUUAUUGAGAGG
rnacentral:misc_RNA from 1 species